GACGAACGCUGGCGGCGUGCUUAACACAUGCAAGUCGAACGGAAAGGCCCUGCUUGCAGGGUACUCGAGUGGCGAACGGGUGAGUAACACGUGGGUGAUCUGCCCUGCACUUCGGGAUAAGCCUGGGAAACUGGGUCUAAUACCGGAUAGGAGCCAUUUUUAGUGUGAUGGUUGGAAAGUUUUUUCGGUGUAGGAUGAGCUCGCGGCCUAUCAGCUUGUUGGUGGGGUAAUGGCCUACCAAGGCGGCGACGGGUAGCCGGCCUGAGGGUGGACGGCCACAUUGGGACUGAGAUACGGCCCAGACUCCUACGGGAGGCAGCAGUGGGGAAUAUUGAACAAUGGGCGCAAGCCUGAUGCAGCGACGCCGCGUGGGGGAUGACGGCCUUCGGGUUGUAAACUCCUUUCGCUAGGGACGAAGCUUUUUGUGACGGUACCUAGAUAAGAAGCACCGGCUAACUACGUG
rnacentral:rRNA from 1 species